rnacentral:rRNA from 1 species
AUGCAAAUCCCAUUAAACUAUAACUCAUUUGAUGACUUUAUAGCAUGGCACCUAGAUCGGAAAGGUCAAUUUUCUGUCCGUAUAGCAUACCGUAUUCAGUGGCUUCGAAGUUUUGGGGCACAGGCAACCGUGUUGGCCCAACCAAGUAGAUCAAACACAUCAGCUGUGUGGAGUAUUCUAUGGAAGCUUUGUAUUCCACGUAAAAUCCAGAUUUUUUGCUGGCGAGCGCUGCACGGAAUUUUACCUCUGAAAUCCAUCCUUGCUAACAGACGCAUAGGUACUAAUGGAGCAUGUACAAUCUGUCAUCAUGGGGCUGAAGAUAUAAAGCACUUGUUGUUUGACUGUGUCCAUGAAAUGGAACUCUGGAGCCGUCUCGGCAUUUCGGAAACAAUCAAUGAUGCCCUGAUUGUGGAUCGUUCGGGCUCUGUUAUCCUAGAACAUUUAUUCCUUCAAGGACCUAGCCCUGUUCCUCUGAAACCUAAUCUAGAUGUCAGACAAAUCAUAGCGGUGGGGAGUUGGUACCUAUGGUGGAUCCGC